AUGGAGUAUGUCCCGGAGACGCUCUACCGCGGGUUUAAGAACUACAGUAAUGCCAAACAGGGGAUGUCACUUAUCUACAUCAAGAUUUACACCUAUCAGGUUUGUGAAUUGUCAAUGAAUAAAUGUGAAAUGUGUGUCUUCCAUUGUGCAACUAUUCUAAGUCAAUUCUACAUUGUUGGUGUCUAUUCAGGGGGCUCGUGUACAUUCAUUACUGUUCCCGGAGUCUGUCACAGGGAUGUGAAGCCACAAAAUGUUUUGGUAUGCAUCAGCGAAUACUUGUUGUGUGCAUCACUUAUGCAGAGGCCAGGGUCAUCCCCUUCUGAAAAAAGAACAAACAGUGAACAUAUUAGCUUGGUUAUCAUGUGUUCUCAUGCUUGCUUUUGA
rnacentral:rRNA from 1 species